GUUGAAUAGAUAAAAUGUUCUUGAAAAUAUAUUUUGAGAUUUCAAACACAAUUAGAAUAUUUGACUAAAUGAAAUCUCUUUCUUGAGUUUGUUGAUGCUGAUAUUUAUAUGUAUUUGUUUUCUUGCUCUUUAAACUACUCACUCUAGCAUUUCUUAUAAAUAGUUAUGAAUAACUAUUUAUUAGUCACUUUAGUAUCAACUAUUUAUGAAUAAGUAAGAGAGUAUCUAGCAUGAAAAGUCAUAAAGUUAUAAUUUAAAUGACAAAAUGUGUGCUUUGGUUUGCCAUCUUGAAUUAAAAUAGCUGUUCAUAAAAGUUUUCAAAUGGGCAAUAACAGUUUUCUGUUCUUGUUCACAAAUUUUGGUAAAAAUGAAAGUGGUGUGGUGGCUCAUGUCUGUAAUUCUAGCACUUUGGGAGGCCAAGGCAGGCGAUCAUCUGAGGGCAGGAAUUUGAGACCAGCGUGGCCAACAUGAUGAAACCCCAUCUCUACUAAAAAUACAAAAUAAAUUAUCAGGGCAUAGUGGCAUGCUUCUGUAAUCCCAGCUACUUGAGAGGCUGAGGUGGGAGAAUUGCUUGAACCCAGGAGGUGGAGGUUGCACUGAGCCAAGAUUACACCACUGCACUGCAGCCUGGGCGACAGGCAGAGACUCUGUCUAUAAAAAACAAAAAAAAAAAAAGAAGAAAAGACAAGGGGCUAUGCCAAUCAACCUCUCAAAAACACUAACCUUCUUAUAACUGUCAGCCAAGCAUGCUAUUGUGGGUACUGGAAUUCUCUGAUUAUUGAACUAACCAUGUUCUUAAUGCAUUUCGUUAGGAACAGCAUCCAGCUGUGGCAAAAGAGAACAUUAACUGUAACUUGAAGACUGAAUCCAAGAUGAUGGUACUCCUUCCAGCCCAGGAUUUUUGCUUCAGAGGCACCUGCUGCAACUCAUUUUUGCGGAUGAAGAGUUUGAGGCUUCAGAUGAGGUGAAUGGCUUGGAAAACCACAGGGAGAAGGAGCACAGUAAGAACCUGACCCAUAGCAAGUGUCUAACAAACAUUUGGCUGUCAGUACUGGCGCUCCCCAGCUGGUGUUAUUUUUCAUAUGUGAGCAGACUAAUUCAGAGUAUUAUUUUAGGCAACAAAUACUUGAAUACUUGUAUGUCCAAGGUGCCAGGGUUACAGGGAAUUAACUAGAUAAAGUCUCUGGCCUUACUGGGCUUACAUUAUAUAGAAAGGCAAG
rnacentral:lncRNA from 1 species